UAUUCCUAAGGCAGGAUCUCUCUUGGUGGAAACAAUAAUCAUGACAAAUGGGAGUCAACUGCGAGACUGUGUGUAUCCUGACAGCAGCAUGCUGGAUGAAAAACAGACUUCUUGGAACUGAUCAGAGUGCUCCUGCCAGCUGCAUCUACGUCCUGGGAUCAGCCAGAAUGCCAAGAGCAGCUGAUGUGUUUGAGCACGUAUGCUCCCCCCAGCAGAGGAUGGGAUGCAGCGCUGAGAAGUUCCACAUCACCAAAAAAUGAAAUGCUUCCAUUCUGUGUAACUAAUCUUAUGUCAGACAGGAGGGAUAAAGGGAAAUGUGUACACCAAGCACAGGUGUGGAUUUGCUGAGAAAAAACACAGGAUCCUGGGGAAUAGUUUUGAUGGCUCCUAUUAAAAAGUUUCACUGUGUGGGAAAGAGCCCAAUACCUAUCAAGUCAGAAGUGGUUUGUGAUGAGAGUUCGAAGGGGCUUUCUCAUUUUGGAGGAUACAUCCCAAAGUAGCCUUAAAUGAGGCAUCCAGCUCCAUCAGGUGAAUUUGUA